AAUCCUUAUUCUAAACUUAAUUGCAAACUAACUAUUCUCCUUGUCAUCUUGUCCAAUAAUCCAUCCAAUAGUUAUGGAACUUGUAUCAACUAUGACUAUUACAAAUCUUCUAUAAUUAUAAUCUAUUUGUCUUAACACUAGUAAUGAUUUCAAAACCACCUUUAAUCCAUCCAUGGCCAACUCUUAUUCCUCACCUUAUGCAAACUUCUUUUCUUUUUUCAAUAACCAAUACAAAGGCUCCACAAUAUGAAUAUAAUAGAGAAUCCAUAUAUGAUAAAAUACACAAGCAUCCAAAAAUCUUCUUAUCUUGGUGGUGUUCCUUCAUCUUUAUUAUGGCAUUUAUCUUAUCUAAGUUUUAUUUCUUUUUAUAGCUUUUUUAUAAAUAAUUUUAUCUCUUUAAGUCAAAUCUUUAGCCUCUUCUUUGCAAUCCUUAAUUGAAACAUCAUUUAAAAAGCAUAUAGUCUUCUCA
rnacentral:lncRNA from 1 species